CGCUCUUCCAGCCAGUCCCUGAGGUCUGGUUCAAAACUCCUUCUCUAAGAUCCUCCAUUCUGAUUUUAAAUGUAUCACCCAAAUUUUUCAUCUUCCAGAUAAAGGCUUCUUCCAGAUUAAGGCUUUGGCUACCGCCUCCUGCACACGAUCAGUUGGUUCGCCCUCCAGGUCCACCUCAUCCAGAUUUUCCAGGCUGCUUUGCUUGUAGAGACCACUUGCCGAACUCUUCCUGACUGGGCAACGAUUUUCCAGUUUCGCUAUCACUGUAGCUUCAUCAGGGAAAGAGAUCUACUUCUAGCCAGUAAGGGGUUUUAAAGGGUGGCUCGCUAACCCGCCCGGUCCUCGUAGGGUGAGGAGCUGCCUCAUCAACCUUUUCCUCCGAAAGGUUGAGGGUGCAUUUC